rnacentral:rRNA from 1 species
UCCCGCCGGACCUGACUGCUAUCGGAUUGAUACUAAGCCAUGCGAGUCUUUGUAGUAAUACAAGGCAGACGGCUCAGUAACACGUAGUCAACCUACCCUAUGGACAAGAAUAAUCUCGGGAAACUGGGCAUAAUUCUUGAUAGAUCAUAAUGCCUGGAAUGGUUUAUGGUUAAAAUGAUUCGUCGCCAUAGGAUGGGACUGCGGCCUAUCAGCUUGUUGGUGAGGUAAUGGCCCACCAAGGCGAUUACAGGUACGGGCUCUGAGAGGAGAGGCCCGGAGAUGGGUACUGAGACACGGACCCAGGCCCUAUGGGGCGCAGCAGGCGAGAAAACUUUGCAAUGUGCGAAAGCACGACAAGGUUAAUCCGAGUGAUUUCUGCUAAAGAAAUCUUUUGCCAGUCAUAAAACCACUGGUGAAUAAGGGGUGGGCAAGUUCUGGUGUCAGCCGCCGCGGUAAAACCAGCACCUCAAGUGGUCAGGAUGAUUAUUGGGCCUAAAGCAUCCGUAGCCGGCUUUGUUAGUUUUCGGUUAAAUCCAUGUGCUCAACGCAUGGGCUGCCGAAAAUACUGCAUAGCUAGGGAGUGGGAGAGGUAGACGGUACUCAGUAGGAAGGGGUAAAAUCCUUUGAUCUAUUGAUGACCACCUGUGGCGAAGGCGGUCUACCAGAACACGUUCGACGGUGAGGGAUGAAAGCUGGGGGAGCAAACCGGAUUAGAUACCCGGGUAGUCCCAGCCGUAAACGAUGCAGACUCGAUGAUGCAUUGGCAUAAUAGCCAAUGCAGUGUCGCAGGGAAGCCGUUAAGUCUGCCGCCUGGGAAGUACGUACGCAAGUAUGAAACUU